rnacentral:rRNA from 1 species
UACGUAGGGCGCAAGCGUUGUCCGGAAUUAUUGGGCGUAAAGAGCUCGUAGGCGGCCUGUCGCGUCUGCUGUGAAAUCCCGGGGCUUAACCCCGGGCGUGCAGUGGAUACGGGCUGGCUGGAGGCAGGCAGGGGAGAAUGGAAUUCCCGGUGUAGCGGUGAAAUGCGUAGAUAUCAAGAGGAACACCUGAGGUGAAGACGGGUUGCUGGGCCAACACUGACGCUGAUGCGCGAAAGCCAGGGGAGCAAACGGG